UUUAAACCUUUCACUGGGUAAUGUUUCAGGUGAAAUCUUUUGACUUAAAACUUAUAUAGAAUCAUUUCUUUCUACUAAGAGAGACUUGUGUUACUGAAGUCCGUCAACAUUAGUUAAGAGACACUGAAGUCAACAUGUCCUUAUCUGGUAGUUUUAGGGUCAUCUGUAUGUGCAUUGUGGGAUAUUGGGCAAAUUUAGUAGGUAAUACAGGUAUUUUAUGCAUGCAGUAAAUUUGCAGAAUGCACUACCAUUUAAAAGUUAAGAUUAAUUUUUUUUUUUUUUAAGUAAGACUCUUAUUCUCACCAAGGCUGCAUUUAUUUGAAUAAAAAAUUCAGCAAAAACAGUAAUAUUAUGAAAUACUAUUACAAUUUCAACAAAUUUAGUAGGUAAUACAGGUAUUUUAUGCAUGCAGUAAAUUUGCAGAAUGCUACUACCUAUUUAAAAGUUAAGUAUUAAUUUUUUUUUUUUUUUUAAGUUAAGUACUCUUAUUCUCACCAAGGCUGCAUUUAUUUGAAUAAAAAUUCAGCAAAAACAGUAAUAUUAUGAAAUACUAUUACAAUUUCAAAUAACAGUUUUCUGUUUUAAUAUAUUAGCGAGCAGAUCACUGGUCGGCUAGCACACUCUCUUUCCCAGAUCUGCUCUUCAGUUCAGCUCACUACUCAUUCUGCAGACCACAGGCACACAACAAAAACCACCAAACCCAGGAAGGAGGCAGUUUCCACAGCCAAGGCCGGAAGAGGACACCCUGAACUGAUCACACCCCACUCCAUUACGAAAGACCAUCACAAGACACAAAGACAGGGCAAACAUGAAGCCUCUCAUCUGGACCGGAGAACCAGGACGGAUAUUGAUCUGAUUAAAGUUGUGGAAGAUCAAUGGCGAAAGGAACUGAAAAUAAUGAUGGAAAGAGACGAAGAGAUGGAAAAGACGGAGCUGGAAAUAAGAAAGCAAGAGGAAGAGGAGAAGAUCAUGAAGAAACACAUGGAAAAGGUCAAAAAGAGUACACAACAUACCAUGAGAAAUAGUCCUUAAAAUCCAAACAAAACAUUUUUUAUUUUUUUUUGUAACAUCCCUUUUAAAUGACACAAUUGUGAUUGGCAACACUGGUAAAAAGAUGCAUACUCAUCAGAUAGUCACCACAAUUUUCAAGAUUAAAAAAAAGAGGAAUGUUCUCACAAGGUUGGAAAGCAUCGGCCUGCUUUCAUUAUCCUGAUUCACUACAGUCACGGACCAAUUUGGUCAUAAAAGUGUGAAUUAAGCAGCUAGUUGGAAUACAGUGAUCACAGCACUUCUGACUGACCAACAGAACAGCAAGCCAGUCCAUAUUUUCAUAAAAGGAAAAAUUACCAUUUGAAAAAAAAAAAAUCACAGUAGCAAGUCAACAAAUAAUCAUCCUUCAUCACGCUCAAGACAAGCAACCAACUCUGUUAUCGACAGUCUGAAAGCAGAUUUAAACAAGAAAAACACCUCAUAAAAGACACCCAGAGUGUUAAGACUUCAGGAAUAACCAUCACAGAAUGAAGGAAACCGCAUUUGAGGAAAACAUUCAUAAUACAUGUCAUAACAUGUUGCAAAUCUACAAUAAAACUAACUAUUAGAAAAAAAAAAAAAUACACAGUAGCAAGUCAACAAAUAAUCAUCCUUCAUCACGCUCAAGACAAGCAACCAACUCUGUUAUCGACAGUCUGAAAGCAGAUUUAAACAAGAAAACACCUCAUAAAAGACACCCAGAGUGUAAGACUUCAGGAAUAACCAUCACAGAAUGAAGGAAACCGCAUUUGAGGAAAACAUUCAUAAUACAUGUCAUAACAUGUUGCAAAUCUACAACAUACCAGAAAAAAUUCUCAAGAAUUUGUCAGGUAAAGCGGGGAGCAUUUCUGACUUGAUUUAAGAUAAACCCCGUAGGUCCCAUGUUACCAGUCGGUUUAAAAAAAUAGAUCAUUGUUGCAUAAGACACAAAUGUACAUUUGCAUAGUUUGAUUGUGUAAUAAAUCGUACUUCUAAGAUCAUUUCCAUUCAUAAACCUCAACACAAUCACACAAAGUUUAUAAUCCAUAAUAACAACGACAGCAUUUUAUGAUUCGUUACUCCUUUCAAUUAAACCACUGCGUGAAUUUAUAUUUCUAUUGAUAAAAAUAUAUGCAUGUUUAUAUUCAUAUAGCCUAAUAUAUUAAAUAAAACAUUUCAUUUCUUCUUUGAUAAUUAUCAUCUCUGGGAACAAUGGAAUUCAAUUUUCAGUAUACAUUCUUUAGGAGAUUGUUGCAAGACACCGACCCACCUUUGAUGAAUUGAAGUUGAACCGAUUUACAAUCCUUCAGACUGCAUAAAAUAGACAAAAGGUGACAUGUAUACAGUAUGUUUUAAAAAAAAAGCUAAAGAGAGAAUCUGAGGCUUCAUCAUUUCAAUUUCAAGUUGCAUUAAACCCAUUUCAACGAAUUUGAUAAACCCAUGUAACUUGCACUCCUUUGCAAGAGACAUUUAAAAAACAAACAAACAAUAGCAGUUUAGUUGACCUGGAUUCGAAAACACCAAAAAUACAAAAUGCAUGAUUGUAAAGAUAAGUGGUUGUUUAAAGAUGACUAAAAAUUUCUUUACACUAAUUUCUCACAUCCAUUAAGACAAACACCACCCCAUGAGACUAAGGCACAGUUCUGAGUCAAAACUCUGGGAUUGCAACAAAGUAAUACAAUCAAAUAAAAUUUCUGGUAAGACUCCAAUCAAUUUUACAAUCUGUAUAUAUUAACUUUCAUCUGGCAAUUGUGAGGAUAAAAUGGGAGCUUUUCUCUUCGUCUUGUAACAGAAGUAAGAAGAGCGUUUCUUGCAACAUGCCCACUGUAGCAACACUUUCAAAGCAUACAACAGCUUGUACGUUCCCAGUACAAAAUGUCAACUUGCAGCACAGUGAAUCACACAUAAAAAGCGUCUCGUUAUGUUAAAUAACCUGAGAGAGCUGGUUGGGAAAUCUUGGAGAUUUCAUAUUGCGCUUUGCAGUGAAGCUUAAGGUUUCUGUCGACAAUCGUUUACCGAGUCCUUGGCUGAAGGCAACAACCUCACGGCUCUCGAGUGUAAAACACGGAGGACG
rnacentral:lncRNA from 1 species